AGAGUUUGAUCCUGGCUCAGGAUGAACGCUGGCGGCGUGCCUAAUACAUGCAAGUCGAACGCGGGCAGCAAUGCCCGAGUGGCGAACGGGUGAGUAAUACAUAAGUAACCUGCCCUAGACAGGGGGAUAACUAUUGGAAACGAUAGCUAAGACCGCAUAGGUACGGACACUGCAUGGUGACCGUAUUAAAAGUGCCUCAAAGCACUGGUAGAGGAUGGACUUAUGGCGCAUUAGCUGGUUGGCGGGGUAACGGCCCACCAAGGCGACGAUGCGUAGCCGACCUGAGAGGGUGACCGGCCACACUGGGACUGAGACACGGCCCAGACUCCUACGGGAGGCAGCAGUAGGGAAUCUUCGGCAAUGGGGGCAACCCUGACCGAGCAACGCCGCGUGAGUGAAGAAGGUUUUCGGAUCGUAAAGCUCUGUUGUAAGUCAAGAACGAGUGUGAGAGUGGAAAGUUCACACUGUGACGGUAGCUUACCAGAAAGGGACGGCUAACUACGUGCCAGCAGCCGCGGUAAUACGUAGGUCCCGAGCGUUGUCCGGAUUUAUUGGGCGUAAAGCGAGCGCAGGCGGUUUGAUAAGUCUGAAGUUAAAGGCUGUGGCUCAACCAUAGUUCGCUUUGGAAACUGUCAAACUUGAGUGCAGAAGGGGAGAGUGGAAUUCCAUGUGUAGCGGUGAAAUGCGUAGAUAUAUGGAGGAACACCGGUGGCGAAAGCGGCUCUCUGGUCUGUAACUGACGCUGAGGCUCGAAAGCGUGGGGAGCGAACAGGAUUAGAUACCCUGGUAGUCCACGCCGUAAACGGUGGAUGCUGGAUGUGGGGCCCGUUCCACGGGUUCCGUGUCGGAGCUAACGCGUUAAGCAUCCCGCCUGGGGAGUACGGCCGCAAGGCUAAAACUCAAAGAAAUUGACGGGGGCCCGCACAAGCGGCGGAGCAUGCGGAUUAAUUCGAUGCAACGCGAAGAACCUUACCUGGGCUUGACAUGUUCCCGACGGCCGUAGAGAUAUGGCCUCCCUUCGGGGCGGGUUCACAGGUGGUGCAUGGUCGUCGUCAGCUCGUGUCGUGAGAUGUUGGGUUAAGUCCCGCAACGAGCGCAACCCUCGCCCUGUGUUGCCAGCACGUCAUGGUGGGAACUCACGGGGGACCGCCGGGGUCAACUCGGAGGAAGGUGGGGAUGACGUCAGAUCAUCAUGCCCCUUACGUCCAGGGCUUCACGCAUGCUACAAUGGCCGGUACAGCGGGAUGCGACAUGGCGACAUGGAGCGGAUCCCUGAAAACCGGUCUCAGUUCGGAUUGGAGUCUGCAACCCGACUCCAUGAAGGCGGAGUCGCUAGUAAUCGCGGAUCAGCAACGCCGCGGUGAAUGCGUUCCCGGGCCUUGUACACACCGCCCGUCAAGUCAUGAAAGUGGGCAGCACCCGAAGCCGGUGGCCUAACCCCUUGUGGGAUGGAGCCGUCUAAGGUGAGGCUCGUGAUUGGGACUAAGUCGUAACAAGGUAGCCGUACCGGAAGGUGCGGCUG
rnacentral:rRNA from 1 species